rnacentral:lncRNA from 1 species
ACACUUUCAAAAGGUGAUCACUUCGCCGCUCGCCUCGCCGCGUGAUGAGGCAGGGCCUUGUUGCCUUUCGCCGUCCAAAACACUGGACUGACUUGCUAUUCACUUGAUUUUGGGGCCAUAACCAUUAUGUAGGAGAGAUGGCUGAGUGGUUCAAGGCGUAGCAGUUCCAGCCAUUCCGGCAAGGCCGACAAUGGAAUUCACCCAGUUCAUUGGGUUGGGUAGUGCGUCAGGUAUCAGGCGGGUUAUUAAGGGUUAUUAAAUCCAGGGAAAUUGGGUUAAUUCGUUGAGAUGAUGAUACGUUUCUUGUCGUCUAACUUAAGGGUAUAUACGAACCAAAAGCUAGACUGCAGGGAUAUUUAUAACCCAAUAAUAUAACGGAGGGUAUUUACAUAUCAUUUUCGUUAGUUCGGCGGUAUAUAUACCCCUUCUCCGUUUUAAUUUGUUUCCUAUCUGUAAAACAUGCUACUAAUAAUCCAUCCAUCCUUGGCUACCCCCUCAUUCCUUAAACCAAACAUAUUCGAUCCGCUAUCCCCAACCAUAUUCGAUCCGCUAUCACAUCCUUGAAACUGUUGAGUUUUGCAAGUUUGGAUCGGGAAUACCACACAGAUCAUGAAAUCUAGCAACAACAGUCACUUGGUGAACCCAAAAACACUAACAAUCGAAGAUUGUUCAGCCAUUGAAUAUCUCCA